AAAAAGGAGGUGGAUCAGUGGCCCUUUGACAUAAUGAUUUGUUAGUUCCAAGGACAAAUGGCCGCCACACAGCCACUUUAUUAAAGGAAAAAAGUAAUCUUCCAAUGAAAUAUGUUAAAAGAAAAACGUCUGAUUCCAUAAAGUGAAUGCACUGCGAGGUGCUGCAGGAGGACCCCAGAUACCGCUUGCACCACCCUCUUAGUUUGGAUCCUGAAGGCUUUGAUGCAGCUGACAGGAUGACGUCACACAAAGACCCUCCUACCUGCAGCUCCUCACAUCGACCAUGUGAGGCCGUUUCUGUCAGACAGCAUGGAUACGAUCACCAAUAAACCAGGCCUCCUCAGAUGGUUCCUCUGCUUGCUGUGGACUGCAGGUCUGACAGGCGGCAGCGACGUCGUCCAGACUUCGAUGCUCUGGGAAGUCGAGGGUGUUGAUGCAACAAUGAACUGCACACACACCAAGGGACCUGGGUUCUUCCAGAUGUACUGGUACAGACAGCUGCCAGGAGAAACCAUGAAGCAGAUCGUGUACACGUCCUCCGCCAGCGCGGAUCACGAUUUUGGAAAUUUCAGCAAAGACAAAUUUUUCCGCCACCAAGCUGGACGCCGCCAGCGGGACGCUGACGGUGAAGAAGCUGCAGCAGGGAGACAAAGGCUGGUACUUCUGUGCAGUGAGUGAACACAGUGACGCAGGGGCCCUCGACGGCUGAACAAAAACCCCCCGGUGCUCUGUUCUCACGUGCUGUAGGGGGACCUCGAGGAACACGAACGCUCCCCGUGGUACGAUGGGGAGGACUGAACGUGUGACCCCCCCCCCGCCUGCAGCUGCAGCUGUUUAGAUCUCAAACCACACUGACAGUUGUAUCAGACCUCCUGCAGUCACUGAAUGACUGAACACGGACGCCAUCAUGACGCGGCCUCCUGAGGCUCAAGCCUUUAACACUCCUCUGAUCUGGGGGGUCAAGGGUCAGACCGUCACAAAGGAUGGAAGUCACCCGAUGUAGUUAUAAUUUAUUUAAUUCAAUUUUAAAAAGUCUUUAAUCAUCGAUCUCCAGAAAACAACACCUUUAAUUUGAAUUUAGUUUCAACAGAAAAUGAAAAUCAAUGUGAAAACAGAAGAAAGUCCUCACAUUCCACAUCGGUGGUAUCAAUGUGUGGCCUUUUAUCUGUUGAUCAACUCGUUGAUGAAAUAAGAGAUGAAUCUUUCCUCCAUCAUCAGACCCUCCUCCAUGCCUCCUCCCCUCUGAGGAGAUCCUGCACCUCCUCCUCAGUCCGGCAGUCGAUGCAGAGACUGAGGAAGGUAACGACGUCAU